GGGAGUUCCGAGUGCGACGGCUGAGGUCUCUACCAUGGCGGCCCGGCUUGUGAGCCGAUGCGGAGCUGUGCGUGCAGCUCCCCACAGCGGCCCGCUGGUGUCCUGCUGCAGGUGGUCCGGCGCCUCAACAGACACCGUGUAUGACGUGGUGGUGUCGGGUGGAGGCCUGGUGGGCGCUGCCAUGGCCUGUGCCUUGGGAUAUGAUAUUCACUUUCAUGACAAGAAAAUCCUGUUACUCGAAGCAGGUCCAAAGAAAGUAUUGGAGAAAUUGUCAGAAACUUACAGCAACAGGGUCAGCUCCAUUUCCCCUGGCUCUGCAACGCUUCUCAGUAGUUUUGGUGCCUGGGACCAUAUCUGCAACAUGAGAUACAGAGCCUUUCGGCGAAUGCAGGUGUGGGACGCCUGCUCAGAGGCCCUGAUAAUGUUUGAUAAGGAUAAUUUAGAUGAUAUGGGCUAUAUCGUGGAGAAUGAUGUCAUCAUGCAUGCUCUCACUAAGCAGCUGGAGGCUGUGUCUGACCGAGUGACGGUUCUCUACAGGAGCAAAGCCAUUCGCUAUACCUGGCCUUGUCCAUUUCCUAUGGCCGACUCCAGCCCUUGGGUUCAUAUUACCCUAGGUGAUGGCAGCACCUUCCAGACCAAAUUGUUGGUAGUUGAAGAUUCUUAUUUUGCUAGGGGUCCUGUAUAUCUACAUCUUAUCCUAGAUUCUAGGGACUCUGGUUUUAGAUUUAAGCUAUAGUUUAAUUUUAGGCAAAGCUUUUGGUUAUGAGGACCAGUACCCAUUCAGGCCAGCUCAAGUGGAGAUGGUCUCGUCGUAAAUCCUGUACAGGGAGCAAUCUCAUGGGCCGUCUUAGGUUGUGAAAUAACAGAUAGCUGGGCCUCACAGGACAGGCACCAGAGUGUCGGGAAUGGAGGCUGUUCUUUCCCUCUUAGGAGUCUGGUCAUUGAUCUCUUGCCUCUCAUUUUUCUCCUUUCUGCUCACAAGCUUCCCUUUUUGCAUGGCAGCCAUUCCUAACCCUACAUCAGAACUAUUCAGCUCCAGUGCGUGCCCCAUACUGAAACUUUCCUUAUUGCUCUCUAGUUCAAAUAUCAGGAGGGCCUGGCUGAGUUUAACUCAUGGCUGGCACCUUUUCAGUCAUGUCCAGCUUUGGCUCUGUUGGCUGUGGCUGAUGUGACACAGUGCAGGGGCUCCACCUCUAGGGGCUGUGAGUGAAGCAGGCCUGAUGGAAUUAUCCUGCCACACAACA
rnacentral:sRNA from 1 species